GCGUCCAACGCGAAUGCACCCAUUAUCUGUUAAAUUUAUUUGUUUACGUCCUUGAGACGAUGUACCGUCGGAAUUCACACGCUACAUGCAACUUAAGUGUCUUUCAUCCGCGCAGUUGCGAAUGUUUGUCGCCGUCGCUGAAACAUUCUGAGUCGAGUAGUAAUUACCAGUUUGUACUGUGGUCAGUUACUCGUGUAUUUUUUGUCGCGAAUCGCCAUGUUUCUGAUAAUUUAUAGUGUGUGCAUUGUUAGCAAAUCGUGAAAUUAUUCUCUGUCGUCCGUUGGAUGUCAUGGAUUACAAAGCCGAUGUCGUGCGAACAUGUUCCAUCUUUACUUUCGUUGAUUACCCGAUACAUUGGUAUCGUAAUAACGUGAGCAACUCAAAUUUGACGAAUGCCGUCGGAUGCGUCUUCGGUCACGCCGCGGACAUGUCUAUCAUCGAUUUAAUAGCGUGAAUUUUUCCUAACUCGCAUUUUCUUUUGAUUUCAUAAUU